CGGGAAUUUUGGGCAAUGGGCGAAAGCCUGACCCAGCAACGCCGCGUGAGGGAUGAAGUAUUUCGGUAUGUAAACCUCGAAAGAAUGGGAAGAAUAAAUGACGGUACCAUUUAUAAGCUCCGGCUAACUACGUGCCAGCAGCCGCGGUAAUACGUAGGGAGCAAGCGUUGUUCGGAUUUACUGGGCGUAAAGGGCGCGUAGGCGGUGCGGUAAGUCACUUGUGAAAUCUCUGAGCUUAACUCAGAACGGCCAGGUGAUACUGCUGUGCUAGAGUGCGGAAGAGGCAACCGGAAUUCUUGGUGUAGCGGUGAAAUGCGUAGAUAUCAAGAGGAACACCUGAGGCGAAGGCGGGUUGCUGGGCCGACACUGACGCUGAUGCGCGAAAGCCAGGGGAGCAAACG
rnacentral:rRNA from 1 species